AGAGUUUGAUCCUGGCUCAGGAUGAACGCUGGCGGCGUGCUUAAUACAUGCAAGUCGAACGGAGAGUUAGCAAUAGCUCUUAGUGGCGAACGGGUGAGUAACACGUUGGUGACCUGUCCCUAAGAAGGGGAUAACAGUUCGAAAGGACUGCUAAUACCCUAUGUGGUUAUCGAGGCCAGAGGCUUGAUAACUAAAGGAGAAAUCCGCUAAGGGAGGGGCCUGCGUCCCAUCAGCUAGUUGGUAGGGUAAAGGCCUACCAAGGCGAAGACGGGUAGGGGACCUGAGAGGGUGAUCCCCCACACUGGCACUGAAACACGGGCCAGACACCUACGGGUGGCAGCAGUAGGGAAUAUUGCACAAUGGGCGAAAGCCUGAUGCAGCAACGCCGCGUGCGCGAUGAAGGCCUUCGGGUCGUAAAGCGCUUUUUUGGGAGAUGAGGAAGGACAGUAUCCCAAGAAUAGGGCUCGGCUAACUACGUGCCAGCAGCCGCGGUAAAACGUAGGAGCCAAGCGUUAUCCGAAUUCACUGGGCGUAAAGCGCGUGCAGGCGGCUUGGUAAGUUGGAUGUGAAAUCUCCUGGCUCAACUGGGAGAGGCCGUUCAAUACUGUCAGGCUAGAGGGCGACAGAGGAAAGUGGAAUUCCCGGUGUAGUGGUGAAAUGCGUAGAUAUCGGGAGGAACACCAGUGGCGAAGGCGACUUUCUGGGUCGCACCUGACGCUCAGACGCGAAAGCUAGGGGAGCGAACGGGAUUAGAAACCCCGGUAGUCCUAGCCGUAAACGAUGUAGACUUGGUGUCGGCGGGGUAAAAGCCGUCGGUGCCGAAGCUAACGCGAUAAGUCUACCGCCUGGGGACUACGGCCGCAAGGUUAAAACUCAAAGGAAUUGACGG
rnacentral:rRNA from 1 species